rnacentral:rRNA from 1 species
AACGAACGCUGGCGGCAUGCCUAACACAUGCAAGUCGAACAAGACCUUCGGGUCUAGUGGCGCACGGGUGCGUAACGCGUGGGAACCUGCCCUUAGGUUCGGAAUAACUCCCCGAAAGGGGUGCUAAUACCGGAUAAUGUCUUCGGACCAAAGAUUUAUCGCCUUUGGAUGGGCCCGCGUUGGAUUAGCUAGUUGGUAGGGUAAAAGCCUACCAAGGCGACGAUCCAUAGCUGGUCUGAGAGGAUGAUCAGCCACACUGGGACUGAGACACGGCCCAGACUCCUACGGGAGGCAGCAGUGGGGAAUAUUGGACAAUGGGCGAAAGCCUGAUCCAGCAAUGCCGCGUGAGUGAUGAAGGCCUUAGGGUUGUAAAGCUCUUUUACCCGGGAUGAUAAUGACAGUACCGGGAGAAUAAGCUCCGGCUAACUCCGU